rnacentral:rRNA from 1 species
UGCCGGACCUGACUGCUAUCGGAUUGAUACUAAGCCAUGCGAGUCUUUGUAGUAAUACAAGGCAGACGGCUCAGUAACACGUAGUCAACCUACCCUAUGGACAAGAAUAAUCUCGGGAAACUGGGCAUAAUUCUUGAUAGAUCAUAAUGCCUGGAAUGGUUUAUGGUUAAAAUGAUUCGUCGCCAUAGGAUGGGACUGCGGCCUAUCAGCUUGUUGGUGAGGUAAUGGCCCACCAAGGCGAUUACAGGUACGGGCUCUGAGAGGAGAAGCCCGGAGAUGGGUACUGAGACACGGACCCAGGCCCUAUGGGGCGCAGCAGGCGAGAAAACUUUGCAAUGUGCGAAAGCACGACAAGGUUAAUCCGAGUGAUUUCUGCUAAAGAAAUCUUUUGCCAGUCAUAAAACCACUGGUGAAUAAGGGGUGGGCAAGUUCUGGUGUCAGCCGCCGCGGUAAAACCAGCACCUCAAGUGGUCAGGAUGAUUAUUGGGCCUAAAGCAUCCGUAGCCGGCUUUGUAAGUUUUCGGUUAAAUCCAUGUGCUCAACGCAUGGGCUGCCGAAAAUACUGCAUAGCUAGGGAGUGGGAGAGGUAGACGGUACUCAGUAGGUAGGGGUAAAAUCCUUUGAUCUAUUGAUGACCACCUGUGGCGAAGGCGGUCUACCAGAACACGUUCGACGGUGAGGGAUGAAAGCUGGGGGAGCAAACCGGAUUAGAUACCCGGGUAGUCCCAGCUGUAAACGAUGCAGACUAGAUGAUGCAUUGGCAUAAUAGCCAUUGCAGUGUCUCAGGGAAGCCGUUAAGUCUGCCGCCUGGGAAGUACGUACGCAAGUAUGAAACUUAAAGGAAUUGGCGGGGGAGCACCACAAGGGGUGAAGCCUGCGGUCAAU